GACGAACGCUGGCGGCGUGCCUAAUACAUGCAAGUCGAACGCUUUUUCUUUCACCGGAGCUUGCUCCACCGAAAGAAAAAGAGUGGCGAACGGGUGAGUAACACGUGGGUAACCUGCCCAUCAGAAGGGGAUAACACUUGGAAACAGGUGCUAAUACCGUAUAACACUAUUUUCCGCAUGGAAGAAAGUUGAAAGGCGCUUUUGCGUCACUGAUGGAUGGACCCGGGGUGCAUUAGCUAGUUGGUGAGGUAACGGCUCACCAAGGCAACGAUGCAUAGCCGACCUGAGAGGGGGAUCGGCCACACUGGGACUGAGACACGGCCCAGACUCCUACGGGAGGCAGCAGUAGGGAAUCUUCGGCAAUGGACGAAAGUCUGACCGAGCAACGCCGCGUGAGUGAAGAAGGUUUUCGGAUCGUAAAACUCUGUUGUUAGAGAAGAACAAGGAUGAGAGUAAAAUGUUCAUCCCUUGACGGUAUCUAACCAGAAAGCCACGGCUAACUACGUGCCAGCCGCCGCCGUAA
rnacentral:rRNA from 1 species